UUGACGUUAGCGACAGAAGAAGCACCGGCUAACUCCGUGCCAGCAGCCGCGGUAAUACGGAGGGUGCGAGCGUUAAUCGGAAUUACUGGGCGUAAAGCGCAUGCAGGUGGUUUGUUAAGUCAGAUGUGAAAGCCCGGGGCUCAACCUCGGAAUAGCAUUUGAAACUGGCAGACUAGAGUACUGUAGAGGGGGGUAGAAUUUCAGGUGUAGCGGUGAAAUGCGUAGAGAUCUGAAGGAAUACCGGUGGCGAAGGCGGCCCCCUGGACAGAUACUGACACUCAGAUGCGAAAGCGUGGGGAGCAAACAGGAUUAGAUACCCUGGUAGUCCACGCCGUAAACGAUGUCUACUUGGAGGUUGUGGCCUUGAGCCGUGGCUUUCGGAGCUAACGCGUUAAGUAGACCGCCUGGGGAGUACGGUCGCAAGAUUAAAACUCAAAUGAAUUGACGGGGGCCCGCACAAGCGGUGGAGCAUGUGGUUUAAUUCGAUGCAACGCGAAGAACCUUACCUACUCUUGACAUCCAGAGAACUUUCCAGAGAUGGAUUGGUGCCUUCGGGAACUCUGAGACAGGUGCUGCAUGGCUGUCGUCAGCUCGUGUUGUGAAAUGUUGGGUUAAGUCCCGCAACGAGCGCAACCCUUAUCCUUGUUUGCCAGCGAGUAAUGUCGGGAACUCCAGGGAGACUGCCGGUGAUAAACCGGAGGAAGGUGGGGACGACGUCAAGUCAUCAUGGCCCUUACGAGUAGGGCUACACACGUGCUACAAUGGCGCAUACAGAGGGCGGCCAACUUGCGAAAGUGAGCGAAUCCCAAAAAGUGCGUCGUAGUCCGGAUUGGAGUCUGCAACUCGACUCCAUGAAGUCGGAAUCGCUAGUAAUCGUGGAUCAGAAUGCCACGGUGAAUACGUUCCCGGGCCUUGUACACACCGCCCGUCACACCAUGGGAGUGGGCUGCAAAAGAAG
rnacentral:rRNA from 1 species